UAAAACAAAGGCAAGUUUAGUUUACUAA
rnacentral:sRNA from 1 species